GACGAACGCUGGCGGCGUGCUUAACACAUGCAAGUCGAACGGAAAGGCCCCUUUGGGGGUACUCGAGUGGCGAACGGGUGAGUAACACGUGAGUAACCUGCCCUUGACUUCGGGAUAACUUCAGGAAACUGGGGCUAAUACCGGAUAGGAAUCCUUGCUGCAUGGUGGGGGUUGGAAAGCUUCGGCGGUUUUGGAUGGACUCGCGGCUUAUCAGCUUGUUGGUGGGGUAGUGGCUUACCAAGGCUUUGACGGGUAGCCGGCCUGAGAGGGCGACCGGCCACAUUGGGACUGAGAUACGGCCCAGACUCCUACGGGAGGCAGCAGUGGGGAAUAUUGCACAAUGGGCGGAAGCCUGAUGCAGCAACGCCGCGUGCGGGAGGACGGCCUUCGGGUUGAAAACCGCUUUCAGCAGGGGCGAAGCUUGUGGUGACGGUACCUGCAGAAGAAGCACCGGCUAACUACGUG
rnacentral:rRNA from 1 species